AUUUAUAUUAGCUUAAAUAAAAACUUAAAGCGCAGCUUUGAAGAGGCUCAGAUCAAUUUUUUUGAUA
rnacentral:tRNA from 1 species